rnacentral:rRNA from 1 species
UACGUAGGGGGCAAGCGUUGUCCGGAAUUAUUGGGCGUAAAGAGCUCGUAGGCGGUUUGUCGCGUCUGCUGUGAAAACGCGAGGCUCAACCUCGCGCCUGCAGUGGGUACGGGCAGACUAGAGUGUGGUAGGGGAGAUUGGAAUUCCUGGUGUAGCGGUGGAAUGCGCAGAUAUCAGGAGGAACACCGAUGGCGAAGGCAGAUCUCUGGGCCAUUACUGACGCUGAGGAGCGAAAGCGUGGGGAGCGAACAGG